ACAAUGUAGGUAAGGGAAGUCGGCAAGUUCGAUCCGUAACUUCGGGACAAGGAUUGGCUCUGAGGACUGGGCCCGUCGGGCUGGGGUCCGAAGCGGGUGUGGCACUGCACCGGGACUGGGCGAGACUGGCCGUGAAAGCGGUCCGGUCCGGCCCGGACCAGCGUCGGGGCCUUCCCGUGGAAUGCCUCAGCUGCGCGGCGCACCGGGCACAAAGCUCGGAGCGACCGUUUCGGCGGGCAACUAACAGCCGAUUCAGAACUGGCACGGACUAAGGGAAUCUGACAGUGUUGCCAUUCGUCGCUUUGGAUUCGCUGAUUUUGUUAAUCA
rnacentral:ncRNA from 1 species